rnacentral:lncRNA from 1 species
GCCGAACUAAUGAGAAGUGAAGGUCACGAUCCUUUUGGUUCUUCCCCACUGCUCCUUCCCUAAUGCUGGGCUUGGGAAACCAUUUCUAUAGGGAAGGGGUGGGCGCUAAUGUAAAUACUACCUACAUGGGAGGCUUUCUUGACCCUUACCUGGUGAGUGGAGGAUGAGCUCUUACAACCAGUCCGAGCUGGAAAGACACAGCCUCGAAAUCCAUUGCUGGUGUCCAAAUGAGAAGGUUCCAGGUCAUGGUUGGCACUUCUCCACUGGUAAAUGUGUGUCAGUAUUUUUUAUCGUGUUAUUGUGUCAGUGGUGUUUCCUUGAGAGUGUCUUUCUUUACCUAGAAGCUAGCCUCCUUUAAAACUAUUGUUUGAACCCUGGUUUCCAAGCCUGGAUCGGUUUCUUAGUAGCACAGGUGAACUAAAGGGUAGGCCAAAGCUGUAGCAGGAAUGUUUUUCUUCUGGAACUGACCCGCCAGCCAGCAUGUGUGGUUUGGUGAUCAGGGGUUUGUGUAAUGAUAAGCUAUGCCUGUGGCUGCUGAGACAGUAGUAAACAGUGCUGGUCACGUGGCGCAGCAAGUAGGGUAAGGGCCGGCUUUAGAGCCGCCGGGAUGCCUGCCUCAAGCUGGGCCCAUCAGACGCUGAUUGCUUUGUGUUUCCCUAGCCCCAGAGACCCGAGUGGUGGGGGAGUUGGGGGAUGUCCAAGGAAAGGAGACCCUUUCAGGGCUUCAGGCAGCCUUUGGGAAACCAGAAAUCUCAGCAUAAUUAUAUGAACCCAGUUUUCUUAAUUUCAGGAUCCUUUUGAGAAGGAGGUGCAUGACAGCAAUAUUCCUUAGUAGGGAGGUGAACAGAAAAUAGUGGGAGAUCCUGGGAAAAGAUAUACACUGGAGAGAAAAUCAAAGGUGUGUUUAAAAGAGCAUCGAUAUCCUUAAAGGGGAGAAUAUCGUCCGGUCAGAUUGCUCUUUUAUGGGUCAGUUCUCCUGGGCUUCUGACCAGCUCCACUUUCCGAGGCUUUGGUGCAGGCCCCAGAAAGCACCGCCCCCAGCCGCAGGUUAGCGCCUUCUCCCCAGGCAGUCCUUGGGCCCCAAACCAGAUUACUCGAGGGCACUCUACCCAAACCCUCCCUGGCCUGAAAUUAUUAUUAUUUUUUAAAAGAUUUUAUUAUUUAUUUGACACAAAGAGAGACAUCACAAGUAGGCAGAGCGGCAGGCAGAGAGAGAGGGGGAAGCAGGCUCCCCGCUGAGCAGAGAGCCCGAUGCGGGGCUUGAUCCCAGAACCCUGAGAUCGUGACCUGAGCCGAAGGCAGAGGCUUAACCCACUGAGCCACCCAGGCGCCC